AGUUUGAUCCUGGCUCAGGAUGAACGCUGGCGGCGUGCCUAAUACAUGCAAGUCGAACGCUUUGUGGUUCAACUGAUUUGAAGAGCUUGCUCAGAUAUGACGAUGGAUAUUGCAAAGAGUGGCGAACGGGUGAGUAACACGUGGGAAACCUACCUCUUAGCAGGGGAUAACAUUUGGAAACAGAUGCUAAUACCGUAUAACAAUGACAACCGCAUGGUUGUUAUUUAAAAGAUGGUUCUGCUAUCACUAAGAGAUGGUCCCGCGGUGCAUUAGCUAGUUGGUAAGGUAAUGGCUUACCAAGGCGAUGAUGCAUAGCCGAGUUGAGAGACUGAUCGGCCACAAUGGGACUGAGACACGGCCCAUACUCCUACGGGAGGCAGCAGUAGGGAAUCUUCCACAAUGGGCGAAAGCCUGAUGGAGCAACGCCGCGUGUGUGAUGAAGGGUUUCGGCUCGUAAAACACUGUUGUAAGAGAAGAAUGACAUUGAGAGUAACUGUUCAAUGUGUGACGGUAUCUUACCAGAAAGGAACGGCUAAAUACGUGCCAGCAGCCGCGGUAA
rnacentral:rRNA from 1 species